rnacentral:rRNA from 1 species
UACGAAGGGGGCUAGCGUUGCUCGGAAUCACUGGGCUUAAAGGGUGCGUAGGCGGCUAUCUAAGCAGGGUGUGAAAGCCCCCGGCUCAACCGGGGAAUAGCGUUCUGAACUGGAUGGCUGGAGUGAGAUAGGGGUGUGUGGAACUUCCGGUGGAGCGGUGAAAUGUGUUGAUAUCGGAAGGAACGCCGGUGGCGAAAGCGACACACUGGGUCUCAACUGACGCUGAGGAGCGAAAGCGUGGGGAGCGAACAGG